UGCACAAGAUUAAAAACACUUACAAUUCCACAGAGACAGUCCUGACCCCUUCCCCCCACUGGUGACAUCAUUUCCUCUUCCUGUUCAGGCUGGACAGCAUGGAGCUGACUAUUUCCUGGUUUUCCUGAAUGUACAGCUAUUCAGCACAACAUCCCACCCGAACCUUUCCCAGCUACCUGGAUCGUGCGAGGAGCCUGUGGGAUGCAGUAGAACUGCCAGGACUACAUACUAAUGAUGAGCAUUUCACUUAUACUUUGUGCCCUCCACCCUAUGCUCUAAAUAUACAAUUUUUAAGACCCCCAUUCCCUUCAGGUAUUGGUUGGUAUAUGCAGUUGGUAUAGGCAGUGGUCACUUUUUUAGAUUUCUGGCUCGGUAAGCUCCCCUUUCAAUGGGGCGUGUUGCAUGUAAUGCAUGUUCCUUGUUACAACAAUGCUAUGUUCAUAUUUUGUUACUUUGUUACUUAUUUUUGUAUAUUUC